rnacentral:rRNA from 1 species
AUCGAACGCUGGCGGCGUGCUUAACACAUGCAAGUCGAGCGGCAGCGGGCCCGCAAGGGUGCCGGCGAGCGGCGGACGGGUGAGCAAUACAUAGGAAUCUGCCUCAGAGCGGGGGAGUAGCCAGGGGAAACCCGUACGAUUAAUACCGCAUGACGUCGAGAGACCAAAGUAGGGGGACCGGUAAGGCCCACACUCUGAGAUGAGCCUAUGUCGGAUUAGCUAGNGGCGGGGUAACGGCCCACCAAGGCGACGAUCCGUAGCUGGUCUGAGAGGACGAUCAGCCACACCGGAACUGAGACACGGUCCGGACUCCUACGGGAGGCAGCAGUGGGGAA